UGGGGAAUAUUGGACAAUGGGCGAAAGCCUGAUCCAGCCAUGCCGCGUGUGUGAAGACGGUCUUCGGAUUGUAAAGCACUUUAAGUUGGGAGGAAGGGCAUUAACCUAAUACGUUAGUGUUUUGACGUUACCGACAGAAUAAGCACCGGCUAACUCUGUGCCAGCAGCCGCGGUAAUACAGAGGGUGCAAGCGUUAAUCGGAAUUACUGGGCGUAAAGCGCGCGUAGGUGGUUUGUUAAGUUGGAUGUGAAAUCCCCGGGCUCAACCUGGGAACUGCAUUCAAAACUGACUGACUAGAGUAUGGUAGAGGGUGGUGGAAUUUCCUGUGUAGCGGUGAAAUGCGUAGAUAUAGGAAGGAACACCAGUGGCGAAGGCGACCACCUGGACUAAUACUGACACUGAGGUGCGAAAGCGUGGGGAGCAAACA
rnacentral:rRNA from 1 species